GUAGGUGGCAAGCGUUGUCCGGAAUUAUUGGGCGUAAAGCGCGCGCAGGCGGUCCUUUAAGUCUGAUGUGAAAGCCCACGGCUCAACCGUGGAGGGUCAUUGGAAACUGGGGGACUAGAGUACAGAAGAGGAAAGCGGAAUUCCAAGUGUAGCGGUGAAAUGCGUAGAGAUUUGGAGGAACACCAGUGGCGAAGGCGGCUUUCUGGUCUGUAACUGACGCUGAGGCGCGAAAGCGUGGGGAGCAAACAGGAUUAGAUACCCUGGUAGUCCACGCCGUAAACGAUGAGUGCUAAGUGUUAGGGGGUUUCCCGCCCCCUUAGUGUUGCAGCUAACGCAUUAAGCACUCCGCCUGGGGGAGUACGGCCGCAAGGCUG
rnacentral:rRNA from 1 species